UACGGGGGGAGCAAGCGUUGUUCGGAUUUACUGGGCGUAAAGGGCGCGUAGGCGGCUUUAUAAGUCGGGGGUGAAAGCCUGUGGCUCAACCACAGAAUUGCCUUCGAUACUGUAGAGCUUGAGACCGGAAGAGGUAAGUGGAACUGCGAGUGUAGAGGUGAAAUUCGUAGAUAUUCGCAAGAACACCAGUGGCGAAGGCGGCUUACUGGUCCGGUUCUGACGCUGAGGCGCGAAAGCUAGGGGAGCAAACGGG
rnacentral:rRNA from 1 species